rnacentral:misc_RNA from 1 species
CUGCGGCCGUGAUAGCAGCGGCUACCCCGCAGGGAGGCGGCGGAACGAAGUGGAGCCGCCGACCGAGGAGUAGUAGCGGAUAGCACGAAUUGUC